GGAUUUUUGAAACGAGGCUAUUUCUUCAUGCCCGCCAUAAUUUCGGUAGUUUCUGUUGCCUGCCUAGUUCAAUCGACUGCAAUGUUGGAAUUUGUGAUAUAUGUGUAACCUGUAAUGGUAUAGGAAAGUAGAAAAGAUGUUGAAUGGGAAACAAUCUUCAAAGCAAGAUCCUGAUUAUGAUGAAGUCAUCGAAACUCCAGACUCAUAUCGCAGAAUCAACGAAGUUCAUUCGAACAGAGAACAAACAAUCAAGAGAAUCAGAGAUAUAUUAGAAAGGCAUUUUAAUGGCGAAAUACAAGCAAAAGAAGAAGAAGUUCUUCUUAUCGAAAAGAGGGUAGCACAGACUCGUGAGAUGAUUGAUAAACUAAGGGCAUACCUCUUAGCAAACUAUUAUGGAUUUAAAGGUAAAGUUAUUUACGGAAAGGACCUAAAAAGGAAGGCAAAAUACCAAAGAGUCGACGGCAGCUGUUCAAGGGAAAAAGUAAGGGAAAAUCUAAGUAGAAGCGGAGAUGAUAACCUUUCGUUUGACUGUGACCCAGAGACUCAGAGGGAUGAAGAAAUUAAAGCUUCGUGUACAACAGAAAGUAAUUCAACAGAGGCCUUAAGUACUAUUGAUAAUACGAAUAGACACUUGGCUUGCAAAUCAGAGACGGUAGAUGAUGAGGAUGGUGUAGCAACGGCAAGUCGGUUUUAUGUGCAUAAGAAAAUCAUCGUGGGAAAUAUUUCAAAGUUCAUUCCUUUGGAAAAACGUGAAAAGAAUGACCAAGCCUCGCAUAAGUGGAUGGUAUACGUAAGAGGACCACCUAAUAGCCCUGAAAUUUCUUCAUAUAUAAAACAGGUCUGGUUCAUUCUUCAUCCAAGUUACAUGCCUAAUGAUAUGAUUGAGGUUUCUAAACCUCCGUUUACAGUUACCAGACGAGGUUGGGGUGAAUUCCCAGUUCGGAUACAACUUGUUUUUCAUGACCCUAGAAAUAAACCCGUCGAUAUCAUUCAUAAUCUAAAACUCGAUAAAACAUACACAGGACUGCAAACUCUAGGUGCUGAGACAAUUGUUGCCCUUGAGCUGCAGCGCCAUACCGUCGAGGAGGAGCAAAGUAAUCUUAGUUUAUUGCCUGGACAAUAUCGUAAAGAGCUAAGCGUGGCUUAUGCUGAAGCUAGACUCUCUUCGAAAUGUUCAGAACCAAUUUUAGCAACCAAAAGGGAAGAUGAGGAAGGUACUAACGGUGAAACAAUACCCUAUAGUAAAUCGAUUGAUGGUUCACAAAAUUUGUACCGACAGAUACUGGAUCGGAAAGGAUACCUCUCUUCGUCAGUUGCAUCGAGCCCUGUCAGUAUUUCAGCUAGCGAGCCUUCAGGAAGCCGUGCUGGUUCGCCUGUCAUUGCUGAUAAAUCCAAUGACGCAUUGUUGGAUUCAUCAACGGAUUCAUCAACGGAGCUAGAAUCAGUCGUUGUGGAAGCGCUGCUUAAAAACGUCUCAGGUUUCCCCUUAGUCAAUGAAGAACGGGACAUAACGAAGCACCACUACUGUGCUAACAGCCUUGAGCAGUACAAAUCAUGGUCAUUUUCCAAGCGGAGGGCGUGUGAAUGGCAAAGAGCAUUAGAUAUAAAACGUUUUCUUGUUAAAUCCGGUAUUGUUGAUGUUAUAAAAACCAAAGAUAUCAUGUUUUGGUGUAGAAGGCAUGGUUUUACGCCCUCAGAAAGCCAAGGGUUAGUUGUUGAUAGUGCUGAGUCAGACUUUUGCCCUAAAUGUGGAAAAUGUUUUCCAGCAAGCAAUCUAGUCAGCAAUAAGUGGUGUAGUGGAUGUUUAUCUGACAAAGUGAUAAAAAACACGUCGUCAUUGACGCCCUUUGAAGAAAUUCUGGACACUCUGUUUAUGCAAGAGAGCAAACUGGAAACGCUUGAGAAAAUUUAUGAUCCUGGUGAAGUUCAAAACAGCAUUGUUGAUGUUGUAGAAUUUGAUGCCAAAGAGGUUGAAAAUGCCGCAAGUCAGUCAUUGGUUGACAUUUCGCAGUUGUCCCCUGCCACUUCCUAUUUAGAAGUUGACUGGAUUUACGAGGCUGCCGCUCAGAUCGAGGUGCACCUCCCUUCUCUUGAUUUUAAUGGACAAAAGAUACCAGUCUUGUCUAAUAUCUUGUCAUGCGCACUAAAAUCGUUAGUAAAAGACGUAUUAACGCAUUCUUAUGCCUAUGCGAAAGACGGCAGAACAGACCUAGAACCCGUAAUUGUGACUCCACAACAUGUUCUACACGGUUUAAAGGAAAUUCCACAUCUAGAUUUCUUAACAAACACAUUUUUAGGCAUACAAGAGGAGGAUGGGACCAUUUAACGCUAGUAAAAAUAGGUGUGCCAUUUGCCUUAAAGGCUAAUCAUGCUCUACGGAGCAAUUUUGAGCACCGUUCAACUAGCCUUUGUCUAGUUUGAGAGACAAGCUUACAUUUUCUUAUACAAGUGGGGACAAAGAACUUGGAAAUGGCCAAGAGACCUUAAGAGAUGUAAUUUUUAUCAAUGAAAGGCCUAUGAUGAAAGAUACCAAUAUCGAAAACGUCCAUAGUAAGGUACGAAAAAUACGUCUAACAAUUCGUAUUGGUGACAAGCGUUGCUUGGAACAGCUGACAUUCAAAAGACUUUCGCAGUUUCGUUUUCAGAGAUUAGCUUUGUUGAUUUAUUCAAGAAGGUAGUUCACAAGUGGGCUUGCGUUGACAAACCACGCUCUGCGGAGUACUUCCGUUCUGGGAUAUUGAACGAACAAAGGUUCCACGACAGAGCAAAUAUUGUUCAGAACCAAAGUCAAUUUGAUGACAUUCAUUGACCCAAGUUGGG